rnacentral:rRNA from 1 species
GACGAACGCUGGCGGCGUGCCUAAUACAUGCAAGUAGAACGCUGAAGCGAGGAGCUUCCUCUUCUUGGAUGAGUUGCGAACGGGUGAGUAACGCGUAGGUAACCUGCCUUGUAGCGGGGGAUAACUAUUGGAAACGAUAGCUAAUACCGCAUAACAAUGGAUGACACAUGUCAUUUAUUUGAAAGGGGCAAUUGCUCCACUACAAGAUGGACCUGCGUUGUAUUAGCUAGUAGGUGAGGUAAUGGCUCACCUAGGCGACGAUACAUAGCCGACCUGAGAGGGUGGUCGGCCACACUGGGACGGGGAAACGGCCCAGAAUCCUGAGGGAGGCAGCAGGAGGGAAUCUUCGGCAAUGGGGGCAAACCUGACCGAGCAACGCCGCGGGAGUGAAGAAGGUUUUCGGAUCGUAAAGCUCUGUUGUAAGUCAAGAACGGGUGUGAGAGUGGAAAGUUCACACUGUGACGGUAGCUUACCAGAAAGGGACGGCUAACUACGUG